AUGAUCUUCCUCAAACCAGUGGAGAGAGAGCUACAGCUUUGCAUUUCCAUUCUGGAUGCCUUCGGGCAGGCAUCAGGCGUGAGAGUGAACCUGACCAAAACCUUGGCAGUGUCAAUUCGAUGCUCGGAUGACCAGAAAUGCCUCAUUGCAUCAACAUUGGGCUGCUCCAUUGGGACUUUUCCAUGCAAGUACCUAGGCCUCCCUUUAACCAUCCGGAAGCUGUCGGCCCUGCAGCUUUUUGACAUAGUACUUCAGGUGGAGAGCAAAUUGCCCCACUGGAAGGGGGCAACACUGCCUAAGAGCAGUCGGCUGAUGGUCAUCAAGUCUGUUCUCUAUGCUAUCCCAGUACAUGCAAUGUUCACACUCAAUAUCCCGUAGAAGACGCUCAAAGCAAUCUCGAAGAUCUAUAGGGGAUUUCUAUGGUGCGGGAAAUAAGAUGCCAAUGGUGGGAACUGUGCGGUUGCUUGGAAACUGGUGUGCAUGCCAAGGUGGGCGAGCGGGCUCGGCAUUCCGGAUCUCACACCUUGCUCUACAAGCCCACUAGCCGUGUGA
rnacentral:rRNA from 1 species